AACGAACGCUGGCGGCAGGCCUAACACAUGCAAGUCGAGCGCUACCUUCGGGUGGAGCGGCGGACGGGUUAGUAACGCGUGGGAACAUACCCUUUUCUACGGAAUAGCCUCGGGAAACUGAGAGUAAUACCGUAUAAGCCCUUCGGGGGAAAGAUUUAUCGGGAAAGGAUUGGCCCGCGUUAGAUUAGAUAGUUGGUGGGGUAAUGGCCUACCAAGUCUACGAUCUAUAGCUGGUUUUAGAGGAUGAUCAGCAACACUGGGACUGAGACACGGCCCAGACUCCUACGGGAGGCAGCAGUGGGGAAUCUUAGACAAUGGGCGAAAGCCUGAUCUAGCCAUGCCGCGUGAGUGAUGAAGGUCUUAGGAUCGUAAAGCUCUUUCGCUAGGGAUGAUAAUGACAGUACCUAGUAAAGAAGCCCCGGCUAACUCCGUGCCAGCAGCCGCGGUAAUACGGAGGGGGCUAGCGUUGUUCGGAAUUACUGGGCGUAAAGCGUACGUAGGCGGAUCAGAAAGUAUGGGGUGAAAUCCCAGGGCUUAACCCUGGAACUGCCUCAUAAACUCCUGGUCUUGAGUUCGAGAGAGGUGAGUGGAAUUGCGAGUGUAGAGGUGAAAUUCGUAGAUAUUCGCAGGAACACCAGUGGCGAAGGCGGCUCACUGGCUCGAUACUGACGCUGAGGUACGAAAGUGUGGGGAGCAAACAGGAUUAGAUACCCUGGUAGUCCACACCGUAAACGAUGAAUGCCAGUCGUCGGGCAGUAUACUGUUCGGUGACACACCUAACGGAUUAAGCAUCCGCC
rnacentral:rRNA from 1 species